AGCGCGCUUCCCUGACACGGAAGAGGUCACUGGUUCGAUCCCAGUAUCGCCCA
rfam:Actinoplanes awajinensis subsp. mycoplanecinus strain NRRL B-16712 P067contig94.1, whole genome shotgun sequence.